UGCCUCCUUCAAGUAUCUCCCUAUCCUGCAGAGAAUGUUCUGCCUCUCCUUCCUCCCAUAUUCUCCCUUCCAAUAAGAUCACCAAUUUUACUUUUUAAAAAAGGGAGCUACGCACUAACCUUUUCUGAGCACCACCACCACACUGCCUUGCAUAAUGAGCACUUAUUUUCACCUGCAGUCUACCACUCACCAGAAUCACUGUGAGAACCAGUUAUUUUUAUGUGCUUCUGUUUUUUCCCUCUGUGUUUUACAUCUGAUUGCUCUGCUGUUUGACAAAGAAUUUUACCACCCGGUAGAUGCAGCAUCUGGGGAAGCUCCUGUUCCUGUGGGGUGAUGUCUCUGCUUCUGGGCAUAAGGUGAGGAGGCAUCUGGCGACCUCCCUGCUUGUGCUGCCUGGUACCCUGAGGCUCUGGAGAAAUUACUGUGCGAUUGUUCACCUUGGCUCAGCUUGAGAGCUACUGUGACAGAUUUAUUGGCUCUGAAACAUUUAUCCAAGCAGAACCUCUAAACCAAUAUACGUUUGCACUCACACACACUCUAGGGAGAGGGGGAGGAGAAGUCUAAGGAGUGGAACUCUGCAGAGAUGUAAGUCCACCCCUCACUUCACUCUUGCAAAUUUGAGAAAUGAAAUGCAUCAUUUCUUCCAACCUCAGGUGUGUUUCUUUUUUUAACCAGUUUUUCUCAGUCAGUUGGUACAG
rnacentral:lncRNA from 1 species